rnacentral:rRNA from 1 species
UGGCGCACGGGUGAGUAACACGUGGGUAAUCUGCCCUUGAGUUUGGGAUAACCCCGCGAAAGCGGGGCUAAUACCGAAUAAGACCACGGGGACCAAAGUCCCUGAGGUAAAAGGUGGCCUCUAUUUAUAAGCUACCACUUGAGGAUGAGCCCGCGGCCCAUUAGCUAGUUGGCAGGGUAACGGCCUACCAAGGCUAUGAUGGGUAGCUGGUCUGAGAGGACGAUCAGCCACACUGGAACUGAGACACGGUCCAGACUCCUACGGGAGGUAGCAGUGGGGAAUAUUGCGCAAUGGGCGAAAGCCUGACGCAGCAACGCCGCGUGGGGGAUGAAGGUUUUCGGAUUGUAAACCCCUUUCGAUCGGAACGAAUCUCCUCUUGGUAAAUAAUCGAGAGGAUCGACGGUGCCGGGAGAAGAAGCCACGGCUAACUCUGUACCAGCAGCCGCGGUAAGACAGAGGUGGCGAGCGUUGUUCGGAUUUAUUGGGCGUAAAGCGAACGCAGGUGGUUUGGUAAGUCAGGGGUGAAAGUCCACAGCUUAACUGUGGCACUGCCUUUGAUACUGCCUUUCUUGAGUGCAUGAGGGGGAAGCGGAAUUCCGAGUGUAGAGGUGAAAUUCGUAGAUAUUCGGAGGAACACCGGUGGCGAAGGCGGCUUCCUGGCAUGCAACUGACACUCAUGUUCGAAAGCGUGGGUAGCAAACAGGAUUAGAUACCCUGGUAGUCCACGCCCUAAACGAUGGGCACUAGGUGUGGGAGGUAUCGACCCCUUCCGUGCCGCAGCUAACGCAUUAAGUGCCCCGCCUGGGGAGUACGGCCGCAAGGUUGAACUCAAGGAAUUGACGGGGCCCGCACAAGCGGUGGUGCAUGUGGUUUAUUCG